rnacentral:rRNA from 1 species
AUUGAACGCUGGCGGCAUGCCUUACACAUGCAAGUCGAACGGUAACGGGCCUUCGGGUGCCGACGAGUGGCGCACGGGUGAGUAAUACAUCGGAACGUGCCCGAUCGGGGGGGAUAACGAGGCGAAAGCUUUGCUAAUACCGCAUACGAUCUACGGAUGAAAGCAGGGGACCGCAAGGCCUUGCGCGGGCGGAGCGGCCGAUGGCAGAUUAGGUAGUUGGUGGGAUAAAAGCUUACCAAGCCGACGAUCUGUAGCUGGUCUGAGAGGAUGAUCAGCCACACUGGGACUGAGACACGGCCCAGACUCCUACGGGAGGCAGCAGUGGGGAAUUUUGGACAAUGGGCGCAAGCCUGAUCCAGCCAUGCCGCGUGCAGGAUGAAGGCCUUCGGGUUGUAAACUGCUUUUGUACGGAACGAAAAGCCUUCUUUUAAUACAGGAGGGUCAUGACGGUACCGUAAGAAUAAGCACCGGCUAACUACGUG